rnacentral:siRNA from 1 species
GACACGACCAUUAAAUUUUGGGAC